AUGCAAGUCGAGCGCCCCGCAAGGGGAGCGGCAGACGGGUGAGUAACGCGUGGGAAUCUACCCAUCCCUACGGAACAACUCCGGGAAACUGGAGCUAAUACCGUAUACGCCCUUCGGGGGAAAGAUUUAUCGGGGAUGGAUGAGCCCGCGUUGGAUUAGCUAGUUGGUGGGGUAAAGGCCUACCAAGGCGACGAUCCAUAGCUGGUCUGAGAGGAUGAUCANCCACAUUGGGACUGAGACACGGCCCAAACUCCUACGGGAGGCAGCAGUGGGGAAUAUUGGACAAUGGGCGCAAGCCUGAUCCAGCCAUGCCGCGUGAGUGAUGAAGGCCUUAGGGUUGUAAAGCUCUUUCACCGGAGAAGAUAAUGACGGUAUCCGGAGAAGAAGCCCCGGCUAACUUCGUGCCAGCAGCCGCGGUAAUACGAAGGGGGCUAGCGUUGUUCGGAAUUACUGGGCGUAAAGCGCACGUAGGCGGAUAUUUAAGUCAGGGGUGAAAUCCCAGAGCUCAACUCUGGAACUGCCUUUGAUACUGGGUAUCUUGAGUAUGGAAGAGGUAAGUGGAAUUGCNAGUGUAGAGGUGAAAUUCGUAGAUAUUCGCA
rnacentral:rRNA from 1 species